AAAAAUUUAGUUAAAAUAUAACACUAGCUCGUCAAGCCAGAAUUAUUAAUUAAUUUAAUAAUUUUUA
rnacentral:tRNA from 1 species